AGCAGCCGCGGUAAUUCCAGCUCCAAUAGCGUAUAUUAAAGUUGUUGCAGUUAAAAAGCUCGUAGUUGAAUUUCGAGAUCAGUACGCUGGUCGUGCCUUCGGUAUGCACUGGUGUCACUGGUUUCUCCCUUCUGAAGAACCGUCAUGUCAUUAAGUUGGUGUGGCGGGGAAUCAGGACUGUUACUUUGAAAAAUUAGAGUGUUUAAAGCAGGCUCGCGCUUGAAUACAUUAGCAUGGAAUAAUGAAAUAGGACGUUUGACCCUAUUUUGUUGGUUUCUAGGAUCGACGUAAUGAUUAAUAGGGAUAGUUGGGGGCAUUAGUAUUCAAUUGUCAGAGGUGAAAUUCUUGGAUUUAUUGAAGACUAACUACUGCGAAAGCAUUUGCCAAGGAUGUUUUCAUUAAUCAAGACGAAAGUUAGGGGAUCGAAGACGAUCAGAUACCGUCGUAGUC
rnacentral:rRNA from 1 species